rnacentral:rRNA from 1 species
UACAGAGGGUGCUAGCGUUGUUCGGAAUCAUUGGGCGUAAAGGGCGUGUAGGCGGUUUGUUAAGUCAUGUGUGAAAUCCCUCGGCUCAACCGGGGAACGACGCAUGAAACUGGCAAGCUAGAGUACCAAAGAGGGGGGUGGAAUUCCCGGUGUAGCGGUGAAAUGCGUAGAUAUCAUCAGGAACACCGGAGGCGAAGGCGGCUCACUGGGGGUCUUCUGACGCUGAGGAACGAAAGCCAGGGGAGCGAACGGG